rnacentral:rRNA from 1 species
AUGUCGGACGUGACGGCGGUGAUGGCUCUGGAGAUGGAGGAGCCGAAGCUGGUGCUUCCACCGGGCUUCCGGUUCCACCCCACCGACGAGGAGGUGGUCACCCACUACCUCACCCGCAAGGUCCUCCGCGAAUCCUUUUCCUGCCAAGUGAUCGCCGACGUCGACCUCAACAAGACCGAGCCGUGGGAUCUCCCCGGGAAGGCGAAGAUGGGCGAGAAGGAGUGGUUCUUUUUCGUGCACAAGGGCCGGAAGUACCCGACGGGGACGCGCACCAACCGCGCGACGGAGAAGGGGUACUGGAAGGCGACGGGGAAGGACAAGGAGAUCUUCCGCGGCAAGGGCCGGGACGCCGUCCUCGUCGGCAUGAAGAAGACGCUCGUCUUCUACACCGGCCGCGCCCCCAGCGGCGGGAAGACGCCGUGGGUGAUGCACGAGUACCGCCUCGAGGGCGAGCUGCCCCAUCGCCUUCCCCGCACCGCCAAGGACGAUUGGGCUGUUUGCCGGGUGAUCAACAAAGACUUGGCGGCGAGGAAUGCUCUGCAGAUGGCGCCGGCGGCCGGCGGGGGCAUGGAGGACCCUCUCGCCUUCCUCGAUGACGUGCUCAACAAUGAUGACUUGCUCAACAACGCCGAGCUGCUCGACAACGCCGGCCUGCUUGACAACGCUGACCUGCCGAUGCUCAUGGACUCACCGUCUGGCGCCGACGACUUCGCCGGCGCUUCGAGCUCCUCAUCCAGCGCCGCCCUGCCGCUUGAACCGGACACAGUGCAUCUGACCAUAAAGACGGAGUCGCCACCGCCGCAGCAGCAGAUGCAGAGCCCAUACUACUUCAUGCCGGCGGCUGCUAACGGCAAUCUUGGCGGCGCCGGGUACUCACCCUACCAGGCUAUGGGGGACCAGCAGGCCGCGAUCCGCAGGUACAGCAAGCCGAAGGCGCAGGUAGCGUCUUCGUCGGCGCUGCUGAACCCUUCGCUGGGCUUGGACACGGUGGCGGUCGCCGGUGCCGACACCUCGUUCCUGAUGGCGUCGUCGCGGUCGUACCUCGAUCUGGAGGAGCUGUUCCGGGGCGAGCCUCUCAUGGACUACUCCAACAUGUGGAAGAUCUGA